AAAUAUUUAACCUAAAGUUCAAGGUAUUCGUUUUGAAAACGAAUCAUAAGAGUUAAAAUCUCUUAAUAUUUU
rnacentral:tRNA from 1 species